AUUAACGCUGGCGGCGUGCAUAACACAUGCAAGUCGAACGAUGAAACUUUAAUGAACCCUUCGGGGAGAAUUAAAGCGGAUUAGUGGCGAACGGGUGAGUAACGCGUGAGUAACCUGCCUUACACAAGGGGAUAGCCUUUGGAAACGAAGAAUAAUACCCUAUAAAACCAUAAAAGCACAUGCAAUUAUGGUCAAAGUGAUAGCGGUGUAAGAUGGACUUGCGUCUGAUUAGCUAGUUGGUGAGAUAAAAGCCCACCAAGGCAACGAUCAGUAGCCGGCUUGAGAGAGUGUACGGCCACAUUGGGACUGAGACACGGCCCAGACUCCUACGGGAGGCAGCAGUGGGGAAUUAUGCACAAUGGGGGAAACCCUGAUGCAGCGACGCCGCGUGAUUUAGAAGGCCUUCGGGUUGUAAAAAUCUUUUGUAUAGGAAGAAAAUGACAGUACUAUACGAAUAAGGUCCGGCUAAUUACGUG
rnacentral:rRNA from 1 species